AAACAUGAUGAAAUCUGGAUAUAGGAAGUGCCGUCAGAUGCGAUAACUGACGAGAACCUUUUCCUGUUCUGACU
ensembl:snoRNA